rnacentral:rRNA from 1 species
AGAACGACACUCGGCAAUGGAUAUCUUGGCUCUCGCAUCGAUGAAGAACGUAGCGAAAUGCGAUACUUGGUGUGAAUUGCAGAAUCCCACGAACCAUCGAGUCUUUGAACGCAAGUUGCGCCCGAAGCCUUCUGGCCGAGGGCACGUCUGUCUGGGCAUCA